rnacentral:rRNA from 1 species
UGAGGAAUAUUGGUCAAUGGGCGCGAGCCUGAACCAGCCAAGUCGCGUGAGGGAUGACGGCCCUACGGGUUGUAAACCUCUUUUGUCGGGGAGCAAAUUCCGUUACGUGUAACGGAGUCGAGAGUACCCGAAGAAAAAGCAUCGGCUAACUCCGUGCCAGC